rnacentral:misc_RNA from 1 species
UGGGGAGCUGGACAGUGCUGGCA